rnacentral:rRNA from 1 species
AGAACGAACGCUGGCGGCAUGCCUAACACAUGCAAGUCGAACGAGACCUUCGGGUCUAGUGGCGCACGGGUGCGUAACGCGUGGGAAUCUGCCCUUGGGUUCGGGAUAACAGUUGGAAACGACUGCUAAUACCGGAUGAUGUCUUCGGACCAAAGAUUUAUCGCCCAAGGAUGAGCCCGCGUAGGAUUAGCUUGUUGGUGAGGUAAGAGCUCACCAAGGCGACGAUCCUUAGCUGGUCUGAGAGGAUGAUCAGCCACACGUGGGACUGAGACACGGCCCAGACUCCGUACGGGAGGCAG